CGCGGUCACACUGUCCAGUAUAUACAGAAAUCAAAUACGAUUUUUUUUGCAAGCCAGCCUGAAAUUCAAAUCAGAAACUAAGUAAAUAAAUAUUAGAAGAAAUAAUAAACAAUGAAAAUGGAAGAUCUCUUGACGAAGGGUUCGUCGUCGCCGCAGGAGGAAGACGAUGAGGAUGAGAAGGCGGAGCUGAAAGCAAAAGUCGCAAUCGCCUCUGAUGAGGGGGUGGAGAACGCUGAGGAUGCUGUGGAGGAGUGUGUUGAAAAGGAAAGCGCGGGUGGCAAGAAGAAAGGCACGCGCAAAAAACGCUCCCUCAACUGGGAAGAGGCGGAGAGGGGACUGCUGCUGGAGGUUAUCAAAUCAAAGGUGGCGUUCGUUGAGAACCGCAGUGUGGAUGCCAAGAGCAUCAAAGCCAAGCGUCUGGCCUGGUCCCAAAUCACCAAACAAUUUAAUGCGUUAAACUUUCGGCACCGACUGCUCGAGCAAAUUCAGGUGCAAUGGCGCAGCAUGAAGAACUCGGCCAAGCGCGAGCAUCAGCAGAAGCAGCCCAAGUCCGAUCCCCUGGAGGGCAUGCGUAUGAUCGAGUUUAUGGAGGAGAUGCAAAAGGAUCCGGUUACAGCGCGGAGCCAAACCCGCGGGGCCAACACCAAUGGCGGCACCGUGAGCACACUCAAGAAGGAACUGCUCGAUAUUGACGAAGAUGAAGAUAUGCCGCUGGCCGCCUUGCCCAACUCAACGAACGCCAGUGAGGACACAUUGCAGACAUCUACCAUGGCCAUACCAUCGCCACCCCCAUCCACCGCUGGCGGGGAUGGGGAUUCGCAGCAAGAGAGCGCUCCUUCCCAGCCGCCCACCCAACGUCGCAAACGGGCCAAACCCAAGUCGACGGUCAAUAAAAACGAUUCCGGUGAUAUGGGAGAGGAAAACGAAAAGGCAGCUCCAGUGCGAAAGAGGCGACAGCGCAAUGUAAGUUGGAGGAUUGUCCAAGCAGCCAUGAACACGAGCAUUGCUAAUAACGAAUCGUCUUCCCCGGGACAGCUCUCGCAGGCACAGUCGAUAAUAUCCGAUGAAAAUGAAGCGUCCACCACUGUUGCGCCUAGCACAACGCCCCAGCAGUUCUCGUCGGCGGCAACAACGGUUCCCGAAACGAAUAGCCCGCCAGCCGCCACGCAUGACCUCAUUAGCAGCACGGAUAUGGAGCAAAAGUAUAAACAUGACCUCUUUAAGCUGCUGAAACAGGCCCGCCUGGCCGAGAUAGAUUAUGCACGCCGCGAGCACGAACAGAAACUGCGCCUCGAGCAAAUGGAGCAGGAAAUUAAAAUGGCAUACUACCGGCAAGAGCAGGACUUGAAGCUUCGACACAUGCGGGAAGAGCACGAUAUAAGGCUCCGGCAACAGCGGCGGGAGCAUGAGGCGCGUCUUGGUAUAUACAGCCUCAAAUGCACCGGACUGAACGGAAGCAUACAGGAACAGAUGCCCCUGCCCUCAGCGAAAUGCAACGCCAAAUUGGACUACAAUAAUGUCCACAUGGACGGUGACACAGUCAAGCCAUCGACCAGUGCUGAGGGGGCGCUGGCUGUCAGUGGUGCCUGCAAUUAGUGGGCAUGGUCGGGGGUCAGACACACUCUCGCAAUACGAAUUGCCAGCAAUUAGCCUCUUGAAAUACGUUUAGCGAAAUGUAGCCGACCUACUCACGGUCAGAUGAAUGAUUUCGAAGACGAAUGAAUACGAAUACUCAAAAAACUACACUCAAGAUGCCACUCGGGCGCCGCCUGCCACGACAAAUGGACUGUUUUUUGUGCAUUUCGCACGACAAACCAAUACGAGCAUACAGAAAAUGCAUUUUCAAUAUAGUAUUACAUAUAUAUUUCUACCGAUUAAGCCUCCUGGACAAAACAAAUGAUCAUUUCAAGCGCGGUUGUGUCGUACGAAACAAAAAUACUCAAGCACACUCUGAAUAAGUUCCCUUUUGCAAAACUGAAAAACGCAAUCGACCCCCCAAGUCAGUAUUCUCUAUUGCCACUGUAUUAUUUUUACAUUUUACAUUUUUUAUUUGUAAGUUUUUUUUUACAAAACUUACAAUUAAGACACACAUACAUAUACGUAUGUGUAGGUACGGUACGUGUCGUAAUUGUAAAUCCCUGUAUGUCUGUUCAUACAUUAACGAGGAGAAUCUUUUAUAAUUAUUAUAAUCAUAAGUUACUGUACAUCCGUAAUGUAUAGCGCUGUAAUGUCCUGUCACUUUGCUUCUGCUUAAUAAAAAGGCAUAAUUAAGGCGUGAGCGAAGUAAAAUUAAUCUAGAUAAAGAAAAUACAAAUACAUAGUGUGUAAUUAACUCGCCAAA